CGCCUUCCCAGGGCCAGGACAAGCCCCAGCGAGGCCUGGCCCCCGUGCCAGCUCUGAGCGUGAGAAAGUGCUGAGCCGGGGAGGAGGGUGUGGAGUGGCUCCAGUAAGCCAGAGAAAAGAAAAUGCCAUUCGGAAAAUCCUAAGGAAGAGAGGAUGCAUUUCCUCGUCUCCACGUGGAAGCGGAUCACCCUAAAGGUCUUCAUCCUGGUCUUUUUCAUGCUGAGGAGGCUGGGGAGGAGAAGGAAGAGGAGGGGCUGGUCUUGCUGACCCAGGAGCAGCAGAGAAAGGAGAAAAUCCACGUGCAGGGGCUGGCCAGCGCUGGGCUUCUCGGGAAUGGAAUCACACACGGACUGUGGCGUACACAUCACAACUUUAAACCCCGUCCGUACUGAAGCCUGCGUCCGAAUUUCUUCUGUUUUUGUGGCGGAAGGAUAAAUAUUCCAUUGUACAGACGGUCUACCCGGUUCAUCCGUCACCCACCCAUGGGCACCCGGGCCGUUUCCACCCUUAGUGAAGGAAGCCGCACGGGUGUUUGUGCGGACAGGAGCUUCCGUUUAUCUUGGGCGCACACCUAGGGGUGGAGUUGCUGGGUCUCGUGGUGACUGGUUGUUUCGGGAGCUGCCGGCAGGUGACCCAGCAGCUGGGCCGGUCCACAUUCCGUCCAGCAGCGUGCGAGUCUCUGAUCUUGGCGCCCACACCCCUGGCUGGCUCUCUCCUCCCUCCGACUUCGCAGCCACACCGGAGGCAGGUGGCAAUGAACUCAAGGUGUGCGGUCCCUCCCUCGGCGCCCAAGCCCCACACUGGGCCUGCCCUGGGCAUGAGUUGGCCAUUGGACCUGAGGCUGGAGAACCUGCCUGGGACAGAACAAAAUUCAAGUGUGAAGUUCUGGAAGGUUCUGGAGGGUUCCAGAGGCCUCCUGGAGCUCCCUGGGUCCCCUGGACUCCACAUGAGUGGCCACCCAGCCUGUGGUCUACGGCUGCCUAGGUUCACCCCCUUGGUCCCCCAGACACACACAGGGCAGCCCUUGUGUUCCUGGGGCCGCUGGUCCUGCAGCGUGAGCUGCCACCUGUAGGGAUCCCUCCCUGCCUGCCCACACCUGCCCCCCACGGCCGCCCCCCCUGCCUGGCCGCACCUGCCCCCCACGGCCG
rnacentral:lncRNA from 10 species